AGAUGGCGUCUGCGACAUAUUUGGGAUGUAGUGUUUUUCAUGUUUGUUUUAAUAAAAAAGUAUAUAAGAAUUAGCCCCUUCCGCAUUUACAUCAUAUUUAGGAACACACUGUAUUCCCAGGGCAUUGGAUUAAGUGCGGUACCAACCCCCGUAAGUUCUAAAAAAAAAAACUGAAAGUCGUAAUACACCAGCGGUCCCUAAACGGUUCUAACUUUUGCAUGCUGAAGUUACAUUGGUUUUUUUUUUAAGUAUAUAAAGCAAGAAAAAGGCCGAAGGAACUCGAAAGAUGUGCAAGAGGCGCCGGGUACCCUUAACAAUAAACUGGAGGAGUGCACUGUCGCUAUACAAAUAGUUACAGGUUCGUGGGAACUAAUAAUGGAUAAAGGGUCCAAAGAGAAACCGUUAAUGGAAGGAAGCUCGUGUUCUACGACUCUCUUGUAAGGAACACAUAUCGACAAGUUGAUGCUCCUUCGUAAUGGAAAUUGUGUCGUGUUCAAUCGUGAUAUAUCUAACACGAUAAGUUAAAUAUGUAAUCUCCAUUGAAUGAGGGAUUUGCAUAUUUACAAGACGCUAAUACAUGUACCUAUGUAGAAACACGAGUACGUGAGACAUUGUUAGACACGUAUCUCGUUCUGUUUGAUGGGUGCACCGUAGUAUGUAAACGAAAACGUGUCAUUCGCUAACAAAGUUACACAAAGAUUGUAAAAAAAGUUUGUAUCCUGAUAAUAAAACGAUUGUCCUCUUUUGUUA